UACAGAGGGGGCAAGCGUUAUUCGGAAUUAUUGGGCGUAAAGGGCGCGUAGGCGGUCGUGCAAGUGGAAGGUGAAAUCCCUCGGCUCAACCGAGGAACUGCCUUUCAAACUGCAUGACUUGAGUCCGGGAGAGGUGAGUGGAAUUCCCAGUGUAGCGGUGAAAUGCGUAGAUAUUGGGAGGAACACCAGUGGCGAAGGCGGCUCACUGGACCGGAACUGACGCUGAGGCGCGAAAGCGUGGGGAGCGAACAGG
rnacentral:rRNA from 1 species